AUUGAACGCUGGCGGCAGGCCUUACACAUGCAAGUCGAGCGAGAAAGGUCUUCGGACUGAGUAGAGCGGCGGACGGGUGAGUAACGCGUAGAAAUCUGCCUGGUAGUGGGGGACAACUUGGGGAAACUCAAGCUAAUACCGCAUACGCCCUAUGGGGGAAAGCGGGGGAUCUUCGGACCUCGCGCUAUCAGAUGAGUCUGCGUAGGAUUAGCUUGUUGGUGGGGUAAAAGCCUACCAAGGCGACGAUCCUUAGCUGGUCUGAGAGGACGAUCAGCCACACUGGGACUGAGACACGGCCCAGACUCCUACGGGAGGCAGCAGUGGGGAAUAUUGCACAAUGGGCGAAAGCCUGAUGCAGCCAUGCCGCGUGUGUGAAGAAGGCUCUAGGGUUGUAAAGCACUUUCAAUAGCGAGGAAAAGCUAAUAGUUAAUACCUAUUAGCCCUGACGUUAACUAUAGAAGAAGCACCGGCUAACUCCGUG
rnacentral:rRNA from 1 species